UGGGGAAUAUUGGACAAUGGGCGCAAGCCUGAUCCAGCCAUGCCGCGUGAGUGAUGAAGGCCCUAGGGUUGUAAAGCUCUUUCACCGGUGAAGAUAAUGACGGUAACCGGAGAAGAAGCCCCGGCUAACUUCGUGCCAGCAGCCGCGGUAAUACGAAGGGGGCUAGCGUUGUUCGGAAUUACUGGGCGUAAAGCGCACGUAGGCGGGUAUUUAAGUCAGGGGUGAAAUCCCGGAGCUCAACUCCGGAACUGCCUUUGAUACUGGGUACCCAGAGUAUGGAAGAGGUGAGUGGAAUUCCGAGUGUAGAGGUGAAAUUCGUAGAUAUUCGGAGAAACACCAGUGGCGAAGGCGGCUCACUGGUCCAUUACUGACGCUGAGGUACGAAAGCGUGGGGAGCAAACA
rnacentral:rRNA from 1 species